GAUGAAGAACGUAGCGAAAUGCGAUAAGUAAUGUGAAUUGCAGAAUUCAGUGAAUCAUCGAAUCUUUGAACGCACAUUGCGCCCCCUGGUAUUCCGGGGGGCAUGCCUGUUCGAGCGUCAUUUCACCACUCAAGCCUCGCUUGGUAUUGGGCAACGCGGUCCGCCGCGUGCCUCAAAUCGACCGGCUGGGUCUUCUGUCCCCUAAGCGUUGUGGAAACUAUUCGGUAAAGGGUGCUCGGGAGGCUACGCCGUAAAACAAACCCAUUUCUAAGGUUGACCUCGGAUCAGGUAGGGAUACCCGCUGAACUUAAGCAUAUCAAUAAGCGGAGGA
rnacentral:misc_RNA from 1 species